GCCUUCUCAACAUCUACAAUAGCAUUCUCCAAGAUGACAAUAUACUCUGGCCAACGAGAAAUUAUUACUUCAUAUUCAUUCAGUGUGUCCUUCAGUUGCGCAUACAUUUCAUCAACGAAAGGAGUUGUUGAAUGUUGUGUUUUGACACCAGACCACUUUACCUUGUCUAGUUUGCACAACUCCAGCAAGGUAAGACGUUUGUUGUCUUGAAUCCAGAGGGUUAUAUAUGAAUGGAACAACUCUUUUGCAUCAACUCCACCUUUCACAGGACUAAUGUUCCAAGACGCAAGAUCUUUUUGAAAAUCUGCUGUUGCAAUAAGCAGUUCAGCAACAGGGGAUGAAAGGCCAGGAGGAGGACAUGCAACAAGAAAUGUGCGCAAUCUACUGGACAGGUCCACACUGUAUAUGGAUGCGCAGAGACUUGGAAGUUCUAUGAAACUUGGC
rnacentral:misc_RNA from 1 species